rnacentral:rRNA from 1 species
UAUGUAGGCGGAAAAUUAAGUCAGUAGUGAAAUCCUGCAGCUUAACUGUAGAACUGUUAUUGAUACUGGUUUUCUUGAAUAUAGUUGAGGUAGGCGGAAUGUGUAAUGUAGCGGUGAAAUGCUUAGAUAUUACACAGAACACCGAUUGCGAAGGCAGCUUACUAAGCUAUGAUUGACGCUGAGGUACGAAAGCGUGGGGAGCGAACAGGAUUAGAUACCCUGGUAGUCC